rnacentral:rRNA from 1 species
ACGGGCGGGGCGAGCGUUAUUCGGAUUCAUUGGGCGUAAAGGGCGUGCAGGCGGUUGGCUAAGUUCGUUGUGAAAGCGCCCAGGCUUAACCGGGCGAGGACAAUGAAGACUGGUCAGCUAGAGGACGGUAGAGGGGUGUGGAAUUCCGGGUGUAGUGGUGAAAUGCGUAGAGAUCCGGAGGAACACCAGAGGCGAAGGCGACACCCUGGGCCGUACCUGACGCUAAGACGCGACAGCACGGGGAGCGAACGG